AACACUGUUAACCUGCGGUACCUGCGGAAGGAUCAUUACCGAGUUUACAACUCCCAAACCCCUGUGAACAUACCUAUAUGUUGCCUCGGCGGAUCAGCCCGCGCCCCGUAAAACGGGACGGCCCGCCGCAGGAUCCACAAACUCUGUUUUUAUUGUAACUUCUGAGUAACAAAACAAAUAAAUCAAAACUUUCAACAACGGAUCU
rnacentral:misc_RNA from 1 species